rnacentral:rRNA from 1 species
UACGUAGGGUGCGAGCGUUAAUCGGAAUUACUGGGCGUAAAGCGUGCGCAGGCGGUUUUGUAAGCCAGAUGUGAAAUCCCCGGGCUCAACCUGGGAAUGGCAUUUGGGACUGCAAGGCUUGAGUGCGGCAGAGGAGACUGGAAUUCCUGGUGUAGCAGUGAAAUGCGUAGAUAUCAGGAGGAAUACCGAUGGCGAAGGCAGGUCUCUGGGCUGACACUGACGCUCAUGCACGAAAGCUAGGGGAGCAAACAGG